AGUGAACGCUGGCGGUAGGCCUAACACAUGCAAGUCGAACGGCAGCACAGUAAGAGCUUGCUCUUACGGGUGGCGAGUGGCGGACGGGUGAGGAAUACAUCGGAAUCUACUUUUUCGUGGGGGAUAACGUAGGGAAACUUACGCUAAUACCGCAUACGACCUACGGGUGAAAGCAGGGGAUCUUCGGACCUUGCGCGAUUGAAUGAGCCGAUGUCGGAUUAGCUAGUUGGCGGGGUAAAGGCCCACCAAGGCGACGAUCCGUAGCUGGUCUGAGAGGAUGAUAAGCAAAACUGGAAGUGAGAAACGGUCAAGACUCCUAGGGGAGGAAGAAGUGGGGAAUAUUGAAAAAUGGGGGAAAGCCUGAUCCAGCCAUACGGCGGGGGUGAAGAAGGCCUUCGGGUUGUAAAGCCCUUUUGUUGGGAAAGAAAAGCAGAAGGUUAAUACCCCGCUGUUCUGACGGUACAAAAAGAAUAAGAACCGGCUAACUUCGU
rnacentral:rRNA from 1 species